rnacentral:sRNA from 1 species
AGUUCAGUGUAACAUUAGUGUCACUAAAGUUGGUAUACCACUCCCCCACUGCUAAACUUGACUGGCUUAAA